rnacentral:rRNA from 1 species
UACGUAGGGUGCGAGCGUUAAUCGGAAUUACUGGGCGUAAAGCGUGCGCAGGCGGUUUUGUAAGCCAGAUGUGAAAGCCCCGGGCUUAACCUGGGAAUGGCAUUUGGGACUGCAAGGCUGGAGUGUGGCAGAGGAGACUGGAAUUCCUGGUGUAGCAGUGAAAUGCGUAGAGAUCGGGAGGAACACCCGUGGCGAAGGCGGCUCUCUGGGACGGUACUGACGCUGAGACGCGAAAGCGUGGGGAGCGAACAGG